AACGCACAUUGCGCCCUCUGGUAUUCCGGAGGACAUGCCUGUUCGAGCGUCAUUAGACCAAUCAAGCACGGCUUGGUGUUGGGGCCCGCCGGUGGCGGCCCUUAAAAACAGUGGCGGUGCCGUCUGGCUCUCAGCGUAGUAAUUUUUCUUGCUAUUGGGUCCGGCUGGUUGCUUGCCAUCAACCCCUAAUUUACUCAGGUUGACCUCGGAUCAGGUAGGGAUACCCGCUGAACUUAA
rnacentral:misc_RNA from 1 species